AUUAUGCUUUUCAGAAUUUCAGUUAUUCUAGCUGUUAAUUCCUUGUGUCAAGUUCAGAAAUGGCAUCACAGGUGUUUCUGAUUGGUCAGGUGUAUUCAAUUACUUCCUUCCAGCAUGUGUGACAGUUUUCAGUAAGCAGUUUUUAUUUUUGCCUUUUUAUUUCCUUGGAACUCUUAUCAGUACUUGUCAACAUGGGGUCUGGCGUUGUGCCAAUGAAAGUCAAGGAAGCCAUUAUUAGGCUGAGAUAAGAAACUGUCAGUCACAGGCCAAACUUUAGGCUUAUAAAAAUUAACUCUUCAGGACAUCAUUAAGAAGAAAUAGAUCCCUGGGGCACUCAGAAACAAAGAGUCUGGUAAGCCAAGGAAGACCUAUGUUUUCUGUGGACAGUAGCCAUCGACAGAUCCACAACUGCCUCCUGAGUGUUUCUGAUCUGUUGGACAGCUUGGGGUUUUCUUCAUUUUGCAUUUUUAGGGGGCCAAAUUGCUAAUGGUCACAUAAUGUCAUUACCACACAAGGUCAAGGAGUUAGUUGCUUCGAAUACCUUUUUACUGAUGAAAACGGCUCAAAGAAACAACAACAGAAGAAAGUGAACAGUUCAUAAUCAGAAGAGCCACUUGGUGGCGUGUGUCUUCAUUUUAACAUCACAUGAGCAAGGGCGUUGGCCUGGAACUGCGACAAGGAAGAAAACAGCACUCUUAUAACCGGCUAGCUCAGGCAUUUCGGAAUUUUGAUGUGUCACUUAUCUUCAGGCAAGACAGCAUCAGAGACCACAUCUGCCGGGUAAAGAGAACAAAGAAUUUUCUAUUCGCAGUAUCGAGUUCGAAAGAUAAAUUUAAGAUGAAAGGAAAAAACCUGAUGCUAUUGUUUCUUAUAAUUGCAGCUUCAGCUACAACUGUAGCUCCAGCCACAACUGCAGCACCAACAGCCGCAGCUCCCAUUGCAACUGCAGCCCCGACAACUGCAGCUCCCAUUGCAACUGCAGCCCCGACAGCCGCAGCUCCCAUUGCAACUGCAGCUCCGACAGCCGCAGCUCCCAUUGCAACUGCAGCCCCGACAACCGCAGCUCCCAUUGCAACUGCAGCCCCGACAACCGCAGCUCCCAUUGCAACUGCAGCCCCGACAGCCGCAGCUCCCAUUGCAACUGCAGCCCCGACAACCGCAGCUCCCAUUGCAACUGCAGCACCGACAGCCGCAGCUCCCAUUGCAACUGCAGCCCCGACAACCGCAGCUCCCAUUGCAACUGCAGCCCGACAAGCCGCAGCUCCCAUUGCAACUGCAGCACCG